ACAUCCGUCAGGUUCAGAUUCUAAAGACAGAUUUAAUUGGUUUAUUUAUUUGCCAAUUGCGUUUUUUUACUACAGUACGCACAUUGAUUGUACGCCAUUUAUUUUUACAUUAUACAUGAUUUUAUGCGUGUUACCAUACGUUUUACAUUAUACGUGUUACCAUUUACCAUGGGCAUGGAGAGACCUCUCCAAACCCUUGGUGUUACAUAAACAUUUGGUAUUCAUUUUCAUAUUGGUUAUUGAUUGUAGACCCACCCCCCCAGCAACGUCAACCUCCAGAAGGAAAGGCCAGCUUUUGCAUGUCCUUGACGCUCGAAGGUCAUGGAGAUCAUUAUGUAAAACUUGUCAUGCAAUGGUGUAGAGGUUGGACCCAUCCCCAGCAACGUCCGACCUGCAAAAGGAAAGGACAGUCACACUCGAAGGUCACGGAGAUCUUUACGUAAAACGUGUCAUGCAGUGGAGUAGAGGCUGGGUGAGAACGACACGUGUUGCAUCAUUAUCAAGCAGGUAAAAUAACCGCAAGGCUUAAGAGGUGAGGCUGAGAAAAAAUCGUAUAAAAGGCGAGAGAAACGGCGAUAGAAAAGCAGUCGUGUGAGCAUCUCCGACACGGCAACAACUGCAGCGCACUCUCCAUCUGCCUUCUUCACCGUAUUGCCAGUUCACAACCAUGGGCGUCGUUUGCUGUUUGGUGUUGUAACGUUGAUGGCUGGGUCGAAUCACUGAUGUAACGGUGUCUCCUGGGUAUAGUGGAGGCCAAACCACAACGCCGCCGGCUUACAACACAACAACAUACGCAACAACCGGUUCCUACACCACCAAGGCUCAAGAGUGUUACAAUUCAUGAUGCCCCGAGCUGCUACACUGAAUCCCGAAGUAUAACUCUGCCCCGAGUUACAUCACCAGAGAGCCGGAUUACUACACCGAGGCUCCCAAGUACUGCACCACUAAGGCACCGGAAUACUACACAACUACGUAUGCUGACUAUUCUGCCUCGGCCGAGGCCCCUCAUUACUACAACACGAGCUCAUGUACUACGCUACAACCUACGCUGCCCCGAGCUACUACACCGACGUCCCGAAGUAUUAGUGUGCGUAAAAGGAGUCGUCUAAAAAAAAAAGAAGUCGUUCCAGAACUGCAGUGCCUUAUCUGUCACCAACUGCAUUUCUCAUCGUGUAACCGAUUCGCAAUUAUGGAUAACUAUGGCGUCGUGCUCCUGUUGGGUUUUGUAUCGUUGAUGCCUUGAUGGUCGACCAUUGGUGUACCAAUGUCUCCUUGGUGUGGCGCAAACCAAACCGCAACUCCGCCGCCUUCCUACACAACUUACGCAACGACCAGUUCCUGCACCGAGGUCUUCAAGUACUACACCACUAAAGCACCGGGGUUUUAUACCACGACUUACGCUGCCCCGAGGCACUACACUGACGCCCUCAAGUAUAACUCUGCCUGGAGUUACUACACCACCAAGGCGACGGAGUACUACAUGACUACGUAUGCUGCCUAUCCUACUACACCGAGGCUCCUAACUGCUACACCGAGGUUGCCGCUUAUUACUCCACCAAAACGGUCGAAUACUACACCGAAGCGCCGAAGUACUACUCUGCCCCGAUCUACACAACCACAACUGAGGCGGCCAAGUAUUACGCAGUCCCAACUUGCUACACAGAAGCUGCUCUUUCGUACUACAUCGAAUGGAAAUACUACAGUGAUGCUCCAUUUUACUUCACCACGACCUACGCUACACCUAGCUACAACACCGCAGCCCCAAGUACUACACCGAAAAAGCCGCCCAUUACACAACCACAUACGCUGCCUGGUAUACCACAUCGAGGAAUUUAAGUAUUACCCCGCUCCAAACUACUACCAUCUGAGGUUCAUAUGUAUUUCACCAGCAAUUCUCCUGACUAUGUCACCACUACUUAUGUUGCUCCUAUACAUCGAAGUUCUGAAAUAUUUCUCUGGAUGUGUUGAAAGAUUGCUGAAAUAAAAGAUUGAUCGAUAA